rnacentral:rRNA from 1 species
UAAUACGAAGGGACCUAGCGUAGUUCGGAAUUACUGGGCUUAAAGAGCUCGUAGGUGGUUAAAAAAGUUGAUGGUGAAAUCCCAAGGCUCAACCUUGGAACUGCCAUCAAAACUUUUUAGCUAGAGUGUGAUAGAGGUAAGUGGAAUUUCUAGUGUAGAGGUGAAAUUCGUAGAUAUUAGAAAGAACACCAAAUGCGAAGGCAACUUACUGGGUCACUACUGACACUGAGGAGCGAAAGCAUGGGUAGCGAAGAGGAUUAGAUACCCUCGUAGUCCAUGCCGUAAACGAUGUGUGCUAGACGUUGGAAAUAUAUUUUUCAGUGUCGCAGCGAAAGCGAUAAACACACCGCCUGGGGAGUACGACCGCAAGGUUAAAACUCAAAUGAAUUGACGGGGACCCGCACAAGUAGUGGAGCAUGUGGUUUAAUUCGAAGAUACGCGCAGAACCUUACCAACACUUGACAUGUUCGUCGCGACUCUAAGAGAUUAGAGUUUUCGGUUCGGCCGGACGAAACACAGGUGCUGCAUGGCUGUCGUCAGCUCGUGUUGUGAGAUGUUGGGUUAAGUCCCGCAACGAGCGCAACCCUCACUUUUAGUUGCCAUCAUUAAGUUGGGCACUCUGAAAGAACUGCCAGUGAUAAGCUGGAGGAAGGUGGGGAUGACGUCAAGUCCUCAUGGCCCUUACGUGUUGGGCUACACACGUGCUACAAUGGUAUCUACAACAGGAAGCAAGACUGCGAAGUCAAGCAAAUCCUUAAAAGAUACCUCAGUUCGGAUUGCACUCUGCAACUCGAGUGCAUGAAGCUGGAAUUACUAGUAAUCGUGGAUCAGCGUGCCACGGUGAAUGCGUUCCCGGGUCUUGUACACACCGCCCGUCACACCAUGGGAGUUGGUUCUACCUUAAGGCAAGGUUUCAAACCCUUGACCACGGUAUAGUCAGCGACUGGGGUGAAGUCGUAACAAGGUAACCG